GAUGAACGCUGGCGGCGUGCUUAACACAUGCAAGUCGAACGAGGUCCAUGGAGCUUGCUCCGGACGACCUAGUGGCGAACGGGUGCGUAACACGUGAGAAACCUGCCCCGGACUCUGGGAUAACAGUUGGAAACGACUGCUAAUACCGGAUACCUCCGCUGAGUCGCAUGGCUCGGCGAAGAAAGGUCCGCCGGUCCGGGAGGGUCUCGCGGCCUAUCAGCUAGUUGGAGAGGUAACGGCUCACCAAGGCAUCGACGGGUAGCUGGUCUGAGAGGAUGAUCAGCCACACUGGAACUGAGACACGGUCCAGACUCCUACGGGAGGCAGCAGUGGGGAAUCUUGCACAAUGGGCGCAAGCCUGAUGCAGCAACGCCGCGUGCGGGAAGACGGCCCUAGGGUUGUAAACCGCUUUUCAGGAGGGAAGAAAAUGACGGUACCUCCAGAAGAAGGUGCGGCCAACUACGUGCCAGCCGCCGCGGUAA
rnacentral:rRNA from 1 species